UAUAGCACCCGACAAAUGAUUGGAUUGAACAUACAGAGUUUGUAGACUUUGAAGUCUCCCAAACUCUUUUGGAAUUUCUCCACUUAGAGAAUUGGAAGAUAAGUCAAGAAAUUGUAGGUUUGUGAGGUUUGAGAGAGAUUUUGGGAUGGAACCUAUGAAGCUGUUGUUGCGUAAAGACAAGUACUCUAAUUUUGGUAACUGACCCAACAUCGGAGGGAUGUCUCCGGUGAAGUUGUUGAGUCGGAGAGAUAUGAACUUCAAACGGCGAAGGAGAGACAGUUGGUGUGGCAAAUCUCCAUAGAAAAGGUUGUUGGAGAGGUCGAGGGAGACGAGGAAGGAGAGGCGUCCGAGCUGUGGAGGAAUGGUGGCGGAGAGAGCCAUGUUGGAGAGAUUCAAGGCAGCUACUCUGUGGUGGCGGAAGCUGCAAGUGACGCCAAUCCAGGUGCAGACGGAGGUGGAGUUGGUCCAAUUAGUUGCAAGUAAAAGAGAUGUAUGUUUGAGUGAAAGAAGGGCAGUUUGAUCAGUUGCAAGGCUCAGAGGUUGUUUGGCUUUGGCUUCAGAAGAAAGCAUUGGGAAGGUUAUGGUGAUUAGGAAUGCAUACUGCAAAAUGCAAUAAAGCUUUUUCUCCAUGGCUGCAAAUUGUGAUUGUAUUAUGAUAAUGAAGUCGUUAAUAACUGCAUCCAAUAAUCAUCAUAUAUACACAAAUAUUACGUACAAGACUUGCUUGAGUGUUGAUGGGUGUGGAUUUUGAGUCAAGUCGUUCAUCCCUACCCUCUCGUGGUCCAUACAAAUGUCGGCCCCAAUCACUUCUAGAGACUGAGACUAAGACCAAGACUUGAGGUUGAGACAAAGACACAGACGGAGACGAAGACGAAGGUGAAGACUUUUCUUAAAAGUUUACAUGAUUCGGAACUUUUCCAAUUGACAUCAUAUAUACUUGUACUUGUGCAUAAGUAUUCUGGUUAAUGGACUUAAUUAUGAUUCCCAUUGCUGAUUAAUUUGGGAAUGAGAUGUUAACUAAGUGGGCGGUUGUGAGAUUUCAAUUGUUUAAAAUUGUGUUCUACUUCAUGGUUGUAGCAGACUUAAAGUUGAUUCAAUUACAUAUAAUUACCUUGAAAAACAUCUUUCGUUACCGCUAUAUUAAUGGGUCCACUAGAUUUAAGGCAAUAUAUCAUACAGGGAAGGGCUGCCGUGGAAUCACGAGAAAAACUAGAAAGUGAGUAAAAGUAAUUGUUACUUUUACAAAACUGUAAAAAGGAAAUUCUAUAUGCGUGACGCUGGGAAUUUUUUUUCGUGUCGGCCCAUUUCAUUAUAUCUACCAAGUGCUGAAGCUGAGAAAUUGUCAAUUUUGUCAGCUAAAAGCCUAAAAUUAGUCAAUACAUCGCCUCGUUGCUUAUUCAAGAUAGGAACAGCUCAUCAACAUUUAGUUUUCAUUUGACUCUAUCAAUUUCUUAACUAGUACGCCCGCCGUUGGGAGACCGCCCAGUGCCCAUAAUUUAUUAGGGGCCUAAAAAAAUUUAUUUAUUUUUAUGUGGAAUCGAACCACUCAAGCUGUUCAAGUUUAAAUGAUACAGUCAAAUGAAAGUAGUUUUGGAAGAUGUAAAAGAAAAUUAUGAUAUCUGCACAGAAAUGCAGUUUAUAUCUUUCUGCAGAAUGAUGAAGAAGAAUUUGGGAAGGAGCGUGAGAAAUAUUUUCUCGAGUUCAACAAAUCAAUACAACAUUUAUAGGAGAAAGAGGGCUAUGUGGAGAAACCCUAUUCAAGCAAUCUUUUUAAAAAACGGUCUCCUGUGAAAUCGGUUUCACAGGAGUUUUUGUGUUAAACCAAUUCCAAAUAUCUGGUAUAUAGUGAAGAAAAUAAUUUUAAUAGUUGAAUAAAUAUGCGUAAUAAUACAUGUAAUGGGCUUAAAAGAAUUUAGCUAAAAUCUAUCUAUAAUUGAGAUCCAAGUAAAUUCUUGUGUAUCCUUAUAAAAUACUAUCAUAUAUAGGUGUUAAUAAAGCUUGUUAUUAUGGUCCUACUUAUUGUUCUCAAAGAUAUCAGGCUAAUUGGGAUGUUAAAAAAAUAAGUAUUUGUGUUCAAGUUAUCAUAAUAUCUAAAAAGAUAUGAGCUUUUAAUUAGAAUUUGCAUGUUUGAGAAUUGAGCAUGCAUGUCCUCACUACGGAAGCAAGCGUCGUGCAUUCGUAAGCAAUAUUCUCAAUUGCGGCUGUCAAAAAAAUUUUGUUAUGUCAAAAUUUUGAGUUCGGAUAUUUUAUUCUGUGAAUAAUAAUAUUGGUUUGAAUUGUUGGGAAAGUUUUUAUAUAUGUAUUAAAGUUGUGGUUAAUUUAGUUGAUGUUAUAGCUUUUAUAAAACAAAAGGCUGAGUUAAACCAAUAGCAUCGCAUUAUUUCUCACUGUAAUUACCAAGAUAAGACUGACUUAAAGAGUUUUAGGCUUUCUAACCAUAUCCAUGUUUUGGUCAUGGAAGGAUAUAUGCAAAUAAGAUUGACAUUAUUAUGGAUUAAAGAAGCAAUAUUUUGUUUGCCAAUUUGCUCCGCAGGUCGCGGCCGUCGACUGGAAUUUCAUAAUUUGCUCCGCACGCCUAUGAUAUUAUAUUCAAAUUUCAGGAGAUUAUGUUUUGUUUUCAGUAUGAAUAUGCUACAAAAUAGUUUGCGAUUUUCUGGUAUUUGAUGGUUUGUGUUUCUCAUUGCUCAAUAUCUAAGAUUAUCAAUCCCAAUAAUAAAUAUCAUCUUUCUUUCUUUCUUUCUUUUUUUCUUCAUUUUUUUUGUUUGGUAAAUGAGAUGUUACAGUUUGUUCAUUCAGAUGCUGAUAGCUCAGAUCAUGGCUAUCAUCUCUACUAGAUUUUGACACACAAAUUUGCUUGAUUUAGAUUGUGUAUAUAACACCAAGGAAGUAGUGUUGGUUGAAGGCCUAAUGUCUAAAUGUGCAGAUACAGUUUCUUUUGCCAACAAUUUGAAAUAAAAUCAGCAAUGGAAACUAGCAAAUCUUGUUUCUUGAAGGAUGCAUUCAGACAUCCGGCUUAGGUUGCGCGGCGUUCGAGCUCGUUUCUUGGCCGGAAAACCACUGAAUGGUUCUUCUAGCUAUAGGUAGCCACAACCUUCUAACCUUUUCAAAAUCUUCAACACUAUAUGCCUCAUCAAAGCCACCAAAUGAAGAAGACAUCAUUAGCUAACUUUGCGAUAGAAAUUUGGGAUAUGAAUAUCCUUUUAGAAAUAACAUAGAACUUUGAAAUAGCUUACUUGAAUCUCAUUGAGAAAAUCGAUGUUUGAUUUUUUGCAACUCUGCAUGUGCUUGUUUCAUGUUGAUUCUAUCCCCUGGAGAGUCGGCAGAGCAUUUCAGAGCCAAUUCGAGUAUGGAUGAUACACACUGCAUAUUCUUAUCAAUCAUUUCUUCCUCCAAAUUCAUGACUAAGUUGGCAUCUAUCACUUCAUCUGAGAUCUCCGAAAGUGAGAGUUCUACCCAUCUCUUUAAGCUCAUAUCUCCGCAAAACAUAUCAUCACUAGGCCUUUUUCUUGUAAAAGUUUCGAUCAACAUCACCCCGUAGCUAUACACAUCACACUUUGUUGAAACUAGCCCUUCCAAGCCAUACUCUGGAACAAUAAAAAUCAUGAUGUGUGCACUAAGAAAGACACAAUUAAUUGAUUGAAAGUGAAGUGCAAUCAAUAUAUUUAGAGAAACUUCACCUGGAGCGAUGUAACCGAAUGUUGCUAGCGUGUUGGUUAACACAAAGCUAUCUCCAUCGCAUAACAACUUUGCUUGGAUUCCCAUAACACAAAGCUAUCUCCAUCUGCCAAACUGAUCAUGCUUCCCAUAGGCACCGGAAUAGAACCUUCUAGUCUAUUAUUUGCCAAAGACAAAUUAAUCAAAUUCUGCAACUUCCCAAUAGUGCUAGGAAUUGACCCUGACAACUGAUUCAUCGAUAGGUUUAUAUAUAUUGCUGCUCCUAAGUUACUGAUCUCUUGUGGUAAGGAUCCAUUCAAUGAAUUUGAGGAUAAGUCUAGAGUGAUCAAAUCUUUUAGGCCCCAUAAGCUUGAAGGUAUGCUUGGAUUCAAAAUGUUGGAGUCUAGAAGAAGAUGUCUUAAAGAAGAGACAUUUCCCAGACAUUUAGGAAUUGGGCCUGAAAAUUGAUUCUUGCUCAUAACUAAAGUAUUGAGGCUGAAUAGAUCACAUAUAGCAUGUGGUAUUGAGCCUCCCAACCUGUUAUCAGACAGAUGUAAUCCUUGAAGUUCAUGCAAAUGGCUUAUAGUUAGUGGAAUAUUACCAGAUAACUCAUUCCCAGAUAAAUCCAGUACCAUCAUAUUGCUUAGAUUGCCUAUUUCAACGGGAAUGCUGCCACUGAAUUUGCAGUUGUAGGCAUUGAAUGUUUCGAGUGAGGAAGAUAAGUUCCCGACAGAAGCUGGAAUGACACCAUUUAGAGGAUUAUCAUCAAUUGACAAAGUAGUUAGAGACCUGCAAUUUGUCAAUGAAGUAAUGAAGGAAGAAGAUGGUGCCUGGGUAAGAUUGUUUCUGAAGUCAAGAGUUGAAGAAUUUGUCAAUGUUACCACUCAAUUUGUUUUGAGCAAGUGAGAGAUUAAUGAGUUGAGAACAGUUAGAGAUGGAGUUGGGUAUUGCUCCACCGAUGGAAUUAUUGCCAAGAAACAAUUCUUCAAGAAAGGGAGAGGAAUGGCAUAAAUGGGUUGGAAGAACCCCUGACAGAGCAUUGUCAUCAAGUCCAAGACUCCGAAGAGUUGAAAUGUUAAAGAGCUCAUGUGGAAUCGAACCACUCAAGCUGUUCGUGUCUAGAACUAAUGUCUCCAAAUGGUAAAGUUGGCCAAAUUCAGUGGGAAUAAGCCCUGCAAAACAUGAGAUUUCCAAACUGUAGCUAAAAACACAUAUUGUAGCUAAACAGAUAAUUUACAUGAAAAUUACUCUGUUGUACCUGUAAAAUGGUUUUCCGAGAGGUAUAACUCUGUUAGCAUGGUAAUAUUCCCGACAUCCCUUGAAAGGUUCCCCGUGAAUUUGUUGCGCCAUAGAUAUAUGUUUUGCAGAGAAGACAUAUUCAUGAAAAUAUUGAAAUCAAUUGAGCCCCCAAUCUGAUUGAAUUCAGCACCAAAAGUAACCAGACUCUGAAGAUGGCCAAUCUCAUGUGGUAGUAUUCCUGGCAAAAAAAGUGUCAUGAAACUAAUAAAAUCUCAUUUACACAAAUUUAUGUGAUAAGAACUUGAACCAUACCAUUCAAAUUGUUACCACCAAGAGCUAAAACCUGAAGAGAUGUUAAGUAGCCGAUUUCUGAAGGUAUCUCCCCACUAAAAGAGUUGUAAGAGAGGCUCAACACCUCAAGCCGUGAACAUUGGGAUAGAUUUGUGGGAAUCGCGCCACUCAGCUGAUUGUAAGAAAGAUAAAUCCCAGCAAGAAAUGGAAGAUUACGGCACAUGUCUGUUGGAAGACUUCCACUCAAUUCAUUGUAUGUGAAGGCCAUAGAUACAAGGGUCGAGAUGUUGAAUAUGGCUGAUGGUAUAGCACCGGAUAGACGAUUGAAUUGAACAGAUAGAGUUUGUAGACUUUGAAGUCUCCCAAACUCUUUUGGAAUUUCUCCACUUAGAGAAUUGGAAGUUAAGUCAAGAAAUUGUAGGUUUGUGAGGUUUGAGAGAGAUUUUGGGAUGGAACCUAUGAAGCUGUUGUUGCUUAAAGACAAGUACUCUAAUUUUGGUAACUGACCCAACAUCGGAGGGAUGUCUCCGGUGAAGUUGUUGAGUCGGAAAGAUAUGAACUUCAAACGGCGAAGGAGAGACAGCUCCUGAGGCAAAUCUCCAUAGAAAAGGUUGUUGAAGAGGUCGAGGGAGACGAGGAAGGAGAGGCGUCCGAGCUGUGGUGGAAUGGUGCCAGAGAGAGCCAUGUUGGAGAGAUUCAAGGCAGAUACUCUGUGGUGGCGCAAGCUGCAAGUGACGCCAAUCCAGGUGCAGACGGAGCUCGAGUUGGUCCAAUUACUUGCAAGUAAAAGAGAUGUAUGUUUGAGUGAAAGAAGGGCAGUUUGAUCAGUUGCAAGGCUCAGAGGUUGUUUGGCUUUGGCUUCAGAAGAAAGCAUUGGGAAGGUUAUGGUAAUUAGGAAUGCAUACUGCAAAAUGCAAGAAAGCUUUUUCUCCAUGGCUGCAAAUUGUGAUUGUAUUAUGAUAAUUAAGUCGCUAAUAACUGCAUCCAAUAAUCAUCAUAUAUACACAAAUAUUACGUACAAGACUUGGUUGAGUGUUGAUGGGUGUGGAUUUUGAGUCAAGUCGGCCCCAAUCACUUCUAGAGACUGAGACUAAGACCAAGAUGAAGACUUUUCUUAAAAGUUUACAUGAUUCGGAACUUUUCCAAGUGACAUCAUAUAUACUUGUACUUGUGCAUAAGUAUUCUGGUUAACGGACUUAAUUAUGAUUCCCAUUGCUGAUUAAUUUGGGAAUGAGAUGUUAACUUAGUGGGCGGUUGUGAGAUUUCAAUUGUUUAAAAUUGUGUUCUACUUCAUGGUUGUAAGUUUGUAACAGACUUGAAGUUGAUUCAAUUACAUAUUACCUUGAAAAACAUCUUUCGUUACCGCUAUAUUAUUUCUACCAAGUGCUGAAGCUGAGAAAUCGUCAAUUUUGUCAGCUAAAAGCCUAAAAUUAGUCAAUACAUCGCCUCGUUGCUUAUUCAAGAUAGGAACAGCUCAUCAACAUUUAGUUUUCAUUUGACUCUAUCAAUUUCUUAACUAGUACGCCCGCCGUAGGGCGACCGCCCAGUGCCCAUAAUUUAUUAUGGGCCUAAAAAAAAUUUAUUUAUUUUUAUGUGGAAUCGAACCACUCAAGCUGUUCAAGUUUAAAUGAUACAGUCAAAUGAAAGUAGUUUUGGAAGAUGUAAAAGAAAAUUAUGAUAUCUGCACAGAAAUGCAGUUUAUAUCUUUCUGCAGAAUGAUGAAGAAGAAUUUGGGAAGGAGCGUGAGAAAUAUUUUCUCGAGUUCAACAAAUCAAUACAACAUUUAUAGGAGAAAGAGGGCUAUGUGGAGAAACCCUAUUCAAGCAAUCUUUUUAAAAAACGGUCUCCUGUGAAAUCGGUUUCACAGGAGUACUUUUUGUGUUAAACCAAUUCCAAAUAUCUGGUAUAUAGUGAAGAAAAUAAUUUUAAUAGUUGAAUAAAUAUGCGUAAUAAUACAUGUAAUGGGCUUAAAAGAAUUUAGCCAAAAUCUAUAUCUAUAUCUAUACUAAUAGAAAAAGAGCCUAAACAUUUUAUGGGACAACUUUUGGAUUGCCUAUUUUACCCUUAUCAUAUAUUUUAUAAAAUAAAUGGGGUUUUUGCAAAUAAAAUCACGAACAAUUUUAAAUUUGCAAUUUUAACGCGACUUUUGAAGUGUGGCGAAUUAAAUCAUAACCUUUUCAAUUUUUGCAAUUUCGUCCCCUCAAUUUUUUCCGGCCACCGGAGUGAUGAGUUGGAGCUUAUGUGGAUUAUUUUUUUCCACGUAAUUAAUUUUUAGCUAAGAUUAAAACAAAAUCAAAACCUAAUUCUUUUAUUUUACUUCUUUUUCGUCUUUUAUAAAAAUAUAUUUGAUGUGUAUCUUAAGUUAAAGAUCAUGACAAGAUCUUCAAUUUUGNGAAUAUGGCUGAUGGUAUAGCACCGGAGAGAUGAUUAGAUUGAACAUAAAGAGUUUGUAGACUUUGAAGUCUCCCAAAAUCUUUUGGAAUUUCUCCACUUAGAGAAUUGGAAGUUAAGUCAAGAAAUUGUAGGUUUGUGAGGUUUGAGAGAGAUUUUGGGAUGGAACCUAUGAAGCUGUUGUUGCGUAAAGACAAGUACUCUAAUUUUGGUAACUGACCGAACAUCGGAGGGAUGUCUCCGGUGAAGUUGUUGAGUCGGAAAGAUAUGAACUUCAAACGGCGAAGGAGAAAAAGCUCCUGAGGCAAAUCUCCAUAGAAAAGGUUGUUGGUGAGGUCGAGGGAGACGAGGAAGGAGAGGCGUCCGAGCUGUGGUGGAAUGGUGGCGGAGAGAGCCAUGUUGGAGAGAUUCAACGCAGAAACUCUUCGGUGGCGCAAGCUGCAAGUGACUCCAAUCCAG
rnacentral:lncRNA from 1 species